CGUAUCUACCUAGCAUAACCUUAGCUCUCAUUAACAGUUAACUAGAUAUCCAUAUUUGCUAACAAAUAGCCUGUUGACUUUGGCGUUUGUGUAACUACUUACUGUCUUGUAAACACGGAAUCCAUUGGUUUCCCUUCCUUUUUGCGAUAGUCUGUGUUAGUUUAGGUGCUACUGAAAGUUUUCCCACAGCGAGCUUCACAUUCCUACAGCUUGUGACUGGGCCAAGACGUUCCAUACCCCGGAACAGGUGGAUGUCACUGGACCCGUAAUCACCGAUAUCAUUGCCGAACAGCGAAGCCAAUGAUCACUUUCCAGCUUGGCCCUCAAACUGGAUCACACCACAGCUCAAGCAAAGGUGAUAAACGUUAGCGAUAUAUCAGUUGCCAUGGUUGCACAAACCCAAGAUGGCAACGCAUCAUUUACUGUCUCCGGAACUCUGCCAUUUUUAUCACGGUGGAGAUGGCAACAUGUCCAAAUGUUUCAUGCAACCCAUCACUGCACUGCCCUUUCCAUGUAAUUGUGCGACAAAGUUCAGCUGUCAAACCUCGUCUGGGAAGACAAUGCUGCCAUUUGAUGAAAAUGAAGCA